UACAGAGGGGGCAAGCGUUGUUCGGAAUUACUGGGCGUAAAGGGCGCGUAGGCGGCUCUUUAAGUCGGGGGUGAAAUCCUGGAGCUCAACUCCAGAACUGCCUUCGAUACUGUAGAGCUUGAGUUCGGGAGAGGUGAGUGGAACUGCGAGUGUAGAGGUGAAAUUCGUAGAUAUUCGCAAGAACACCAGUGGCGAAGGCGGCUCACUGGCCCGGUACUGACGCUGAGGUGCGAAAGCGUGGGGAGCAAACAGG
rnacentral:rRNA from 1 species